UAUUACAGUUCAAAUCCAGCUCGGCCCA
rnacentral:tRNA from 1 species